GAUGAACGCUGGCGGCGUGCCUAAUACAUGCAAGUCGAGCGAACAGACGAGGAGCUUGCUCCUCUGACGUUAGCGGCGGACGGGUGAGUAACACGUGGAUAACCUACCUAUAAGACUGGGAUAACUUCGGGAAACCGGAGCUAAUACCGGAUAAUAUAUUGAACCGCAUGGUUCAAUAGUGAAAGACGGUUUUGCUGUCACUUAUAGAUGGAUCCGCGCCGCAUUAGCUAGUUGGUAAGGUAACGGCUUACCAAGGCAACGAUGCGUAGCCGACCUGAGAGGGUGAUCGGCCACACGGGAACUGAGACACGCUCCAAACUCCUACGGGAGGCAGCAGUAGGGAAUCUUCCGCAAUGGGCGAAAGCUUGACGGAGCAACGCCGCGUGAGUGAUGAAGGUCUUCGGAUCGUAAAACUCUGUUAUUAGGGAAGAACAAAUGUGUAAGUAACUAUGCACGUCUUGACGGUACCUAAUCAGAAAGCCACGGCUAACUACGUG
rnacentral:rRNA from 1 species